UACGGAGGGGGCGAGCGUUAUUCGGAAUUAUUGGGCGUAAAGGGCGCGUAGGCGGCUAGGUAAGUCAAAGGUGAAAUCCCUCGGCUCAACUGAGGAACUGCCUUUGAAACUGCCUAGCUUGAGGCCGGGAGGGGGUGGCGGAAUUCCCAGUGUAGCGGUGAAAUGCGUAGAUAUUGGGAGGAACACCAGUGGCGAAGGCGGCCACCUGGACCGGUUCUGACGCUGAGGCGCGAAAGCGUGGGGAGCAAACAGG
rnacentral:rRNA from 1 species